AGAGAAAAGGUUACGGAGCAAAGUAGAUGGACCCCGUUGGUUUUCAUUUGGGUUCCUCUCGAUCCAUGGGACCUCUCUUUCAGUCCGUAGACCUUUUGUUUUUUGAAAGCAGAGUCUCAAAUUCAAUGAUUUGAUACCUCAAAUCCACGCCCAUUUUUAUUAGGGGUUCUGAUGUGCUUAAAACGGUGGACUUGAGUUUUCAGAUCGAGUUGUUUUAUGUAUAUAGAGUUAAAAGGGAAAAAAAGAGAGAAAAGGAUGGCUUGGUUUAGCGGGAAGGUGUCCUUAGGAGGCUUUCCUGAUAUUGCUGGGGCAGUUAAUAAAUUCCAGGAGAGCGUGAAGAAUAUUGAGAAGAAUUUCGAUAACGCUCUCGGUUUUGAAGAGAAGUCUGAAUCAAACAGCAAUGAAGCUUCAGGAUUGUGGCCUUCAGACAGAAAGGCACUCUUUGAUCCAGUUAUGUCCUUUAUGGGUCAAAAAGGUGAGGAGAAUGCUGUUGAGUCAUCAGGAAAACUUGAAUCUUCACAGGAUCCACCCAAAGCUGUGGAAAAGGAAGAGGCUGAAACUGGCAGUUCAACUUAUCCUCAUGAGAAAACCUCUGUUGAAGAUGAUAAAGCAGCUGUCAAGUUAGAAAAAGAGAACAAACAUUCAGAGGCUGUGGAGAGAGCUGAUACAGCCAUUUCAGACUCUGGUAAAGCUGAAUCAGAACCAGAACCAGUUUCUACCGAGCCGUCUGAAACUACCUUUCAGAAUGUUGGGUCAUCAGAUUCCCCUGACACUGAACAACAGAAAGAAAGCUUUGUUAUGGUCAUUUCUGAUGACUCUGACUCCAAGGAAGCUAAAUUAGAUAAUGCAGAAGUAGACCAAGUUGAGGAUGCUGAGCCUGUGCCAGCAAAGUCAAGUGAUGCUGUUGACAUACUUGAAAGUAAAGAUGAACAAAAGACAUACACGGAAGAGAUUUCAGAUAAAAGUUCUCCAGUUAAAUCGGAGGAAUCAAGUGAUAGGCAAGAUUAUGCCGGUGCUUGCCCUGAAGAGUCGGUGCUCUCAAAUUCACAUUCUAUCAGUGUAGAGGAGACGAACAGUGAUCAGGAAUUUCCAUUGCCCAAUGUGCUUCCUUCAUACGAGGCUCAAGGGACGGUUUCUGAAUCAGCUUUUGUUGGAAAUGAUGCAAAUACUGAAAAAGGUGAAGUGAAUGAGCAGGCCAAUGAUAGUGAAACUGAUGUUAAAGAAGAAAUGCACAUGAGUUCUGCAACUAUCAUGCCCGCCUCAGUUGAUUCUAUGCAUGAAUUGGAGAAGGUGAUGAUGGAAAUGAAAAUGAUGGAAUCUGCAUUGCAAGGUGCUGCAAGGCAAGCUCAGGCAAAAGCUGAUGAAAUUGCAAAGCUGAUGAACGAAAAUGAGCAACUUAAAGCUGUAAUUGAGGAUUUGAAGAGAAAAUCCAAUGAAGCAGAAAUGGAGUCAUUGCAAGAAGAAUAUCAUCAAAGGGUUUCAACUCUGGAAAGGAAGGUUUAUGCCCUUACUAAGGAAAGGGAUACUCUUCGAAGAGAGCAGAAUAAAAAAAGUGAUGCUGCUGCUCUUUUGAAAGAAAAAGAUGAAAUAAUUAAACAAGUAAUGGCUGAAGGUGAAGAACUUUCAAAGAAGCAGGCUACUCAAGAAUCACUGAUCAGGAAACUAAGGGCUCAGAUUAGAGAGCUCGAAGAGGAGAAGAAAGGUCUGACUACAAAGCUUCAGGUUGAAGAGAACAAGGUAGAGAGCAUCAAGAAGGAUAAGACAGCUACAGAGAAGUUGCUGCAAGAAACAAUUGAAAAACACCAAGUUGAACUUGCAGCUCAGAAAGACUUCUAUACAAAUGCUCUGAAUGCAGCAAGGGAGGCUGAAGCACUAGCAGAGGCACGUGCCAAUAAUGAAGCAAGAACUGAAUUGGAGAGUCGUCUAAGAGAGGCUGAAGAACGUGAAUCUAUGCUAGUACAGACACUUGAAGAAUUAAGGCAAACCUUAAGCAGAAAGGAGCAGCAGGCAGUCUUUAGAGAAGACAUGCUUCGCAGGGACAUUGAAGAUCUUCAAAAACGUUAUCAAGCAAGUGAGCGUCGGUGUGAGGAGUUGAUUACACAAGUACCUGAGUCUACAAGACCACUUUUAAGGCAGAUUGAAGCCAUGCAGGAAACAACUUCCAGAAGAGCAGAAGCUUGGGCUGCUGUGGAGAGAUCUCUAAACUCUCGUCUCCAGGAAGCUGAGUCAAAAGCAGCAGCUGCUGAAGAGAGAGAGCGAUCUGUAAAUGAACGCUUAUCUCAAACCUUAUCACGAAUUAAUGUUAUUGAAGCUCAGAUUUCAUGUCUAAGAGCAGAACAAACACAGCUAAGCAGGUCCCUUGAGAAAGAGAGACAGAGAGCUGCUGAGCAGAGACAGGAAUACCUAGCAGCAAAGGAGGAAGCUGAUACACAAGAAGUUCGGGCAAACCAGCUUGAGGAAGAAAUUAGGGAACUAAGAAGGAAACAUAAGCAAGAGUUACAAGAUGCUCUUGUGCAUCGAGAACUUCUACAACAGGAAGUAGAAAGGGAGAAAGCUGCUCGGGCAGACUUGGAAAGGACAGUGCGUGUACAAUCUACGGAGCUAGCUCCAAUAGCAAGGCAUAAUUCCACUUUGGAGAAUGGAAGCUUGUCCCGGAAACUCUCUACUACUAGCAGCAUGGAAAGCAUGGAGGAAAGCUAUUAUCUGCAAGCAUCUUUGGAUUCAUCUGAUGGUUUCUCUGAAAAAAGAAAUAUUGGAGAGACAGCAUUAAGUCCACUCUACAUGAAGAGCAUGACACCUAGUGCUUUUGAAUCUGCCCUUCGUCAAAAGGAGGGUGAACUUGCAUCCUAUAUGUCACGUUUGACUUCCUUGGAGUCUAUCCGUGACUCUUUAUCCGAAGAGUUGGUGAAAAUGACUGCACAGUGUGAAAAGUUGAAGGCAGAGGCUGCCACGUUGCCUGGAAUCCGGACAGAGCUAGAAGCUUUGAGGCGGAGACACUCCGCUGCUCUGGAGCUAAUGGGUGAACGCGAUGAGGAGUGGUUGCAUCAUCUUUCCAGUUAGAGGAACUCCGAGCUGAUAUUGUAGACCUGAAGGAGAUGUACAGAGAGCAAGUUAACUUGCUUGUGAAUAAGCUACCUGGCUGUGGUUGACAGAUCCAAAGAAUGAAUUCUUCAGCGGGUAACACCUCGUAAGCAUUUUUCUUAUUAUUUUUGGUGGUAUUCCAAGACGCAAUGUGCAUAGUACAGCUGAAGUAGAUAUGGUUAAUGCAGUGGUCAUUCAAAAAAUUAUUGUUUUUAUAUUAUCUUUCAUUCAAGACUAUGUGCUUUAUCCAAACGGUUGGCUCCUGAGAGAUUGAGGGAGGAGGUGCCUUUGUCAAACACUACAAUGUAUUGUAGUUUGUUGUAAAGAACAUGACAACUCUAUUUUACCUAAUUCUUUUAUAUAUCUUUUUUCUUAAUAAAGGGGAUAUUUUAUGUGCA